rnacentral:rRNA from 1 species
GAUGAACGCUGGCGGCGUGCUUAACACAUGCAAGUCGAACGGAAAGGCCCAAGCUUGCUUGGGUACUCGAGUGGCGAACGGGUGAGUAACACGUGGGUGAUCUGCCCUGCACUUCGGGAUAAGCCUGGGAAACUGGGUCUAAUACCGGAUAGGACCACAUUUUGGAUGGUGUGGUGGAAAGUUUUUCGGUGUGGGAUGAGCUCGCGGCCUAUCAGCUUGUUGGUGGGGUAAUGGCCUACCAAGGCGUCGACGGGUAGCCGGCCUGAGAGGGUGUACGGCCACAUUGGGACUGAGAUACGGCCCAGACUCCUACGGGAGGCAGCAGUGGGGAAGAUUGCACAAUGGGCGCAGGCCUGAUGCAGCGACGCCGCGUGGGGGAUGACGGCCUUCGGGUUGUAAACUCCUUUCGCUAGGGACGAAGCGUUAUGUGACGGUACCUGGAGAAGAAGCACCGGCUAACUACGUG